UACGUAGGGUGCAAGCGUUAAUCGGAAUUACUGGGCGUAAAGCGUGCGCAGGCGGCUUUGCAAGACAGAUGUGAAAGCCCUUGGCUCAACUGAGGAAGUGCAUCCGAAACUGGCAGGCUAGAGUACUAAAGAGGAUCGCGGAAUUCCCGGUGUAGAGGUGAAAUUCGUAGAUAUCGGGAGGAACACCGGUGGCGAAGGCGGCGAUCUGGGUAGAUACUGACGCUGAGGUGCGAAAGCGUGGGGAGCAAACAGG
rnacentral:rRNA from 1 species